rnacentral:rRNA from 1 species
AGCGAACGUUUGCGGCGGGCCUAACACAUGCAAGUCGAACGGGCUAGCAAUAGUCAGUGGCGCACGGGUGCGUAACACGUGGGUAAUCAACCCUUCAGCUCGGGAUAACGCCUUGAAAGGGGCGCUAAUACCGGAUGCGACGCGAGGAGCCUCGGCGCUUCGCGGGAAGAUUCGCAAGGAUCACUGAAGGACGAGCCUGCGGCCCACUCAGCUAGUUGGUGAGGUAAGAGCUCACCAAGGCGAAGACGGGUAGGCUGGUCUGAGAGGAUGAUCAGCCACACUGGAACUGAGACACGGUCCAGACUCCUACGGGAGGGCAGCAGUGGGGAAUAUUGCGCAAUGGGCGAAAGCCUGACGCAGCCACGCCGCGUGAGCGAUGAAGGCCUUCGGUCGGU